AAUUCAGGGCAACUGGAAAACCCACCUCAACAGGCCUGCUACUGAAAGACCCCCGGAGGGAGACCUUUACUCAUGUCUCGGGAAGGCGCGCACCCAGUAAGACGCUAAGACCG
rnacentral:pre_miRNA from 7 species